GACGAACGCUGGCGGCGUGCUAAACACAUGCAAGUCGAGCGGAGCGGCGAACGGGUGAGUAACGCGUGAGUAACUGCCCCCCUCUCUGGGAUAACAGUUGGAAACGGCUGCUAAUACCAGAUAGUGGGGGAUGGCUCGCGUCCUAUCAGCUUGUUGGUGGGGUAGUGGCCUCCCAAGGCGACGACUGGUAGCCGGCCUGGUAGGGAGACCGGCCACAUUGUGCUGAUAUACGGCCCAAACUCUUACGGGAGGCAGCAGUGGGGAAUCUUGCACAAUGGGUGAAACCCUGAUGCAGCAACGCGCGUGCGGGAUGACGGCCUUCGGGUUGUAAACCGCUUUCAGCCAUGACGCGUUAGUGGCAGAAGAAGCACCGGCUAACUACGUGCCAGCCGCCGCGGUAAUU
rnacentral:rRNA from 1 species